rnacentral:rRNA from 1 species
CACGUAGGGCGCAAGCGUUGUCCGGAAUUAUUGGGCGUAAAGAGCUCGUAGGCGGUUCGUCGCGUCGGCUGUGAAAUCCCGGAGCUCAACUCCGGGUCUGCAGUCGAUACGGGCGGACUUGAGUACUGCAGGGGAGACUGGAAUUCCUGGUGUAGCGGUGAAAUGCGCAGAUAUCGGGAGGAACACCAGUGGCGAAGGCGAUCAUCUGGGUUGUUCUGACACUGAGGAGCGAAAGCUAGGGGAGCAAACGGG